rnacentral:rRNA from 1 species
CAAGAGCGUAUAUUAAAGUUGUUGCGGUUAAAAAGCCCCUACUUGGAUGUCUGCUGAGGACGACGGGUCCGCCCUCUGGGUGAGUAUCUGGCUCGGCCUGGGCGUCUUCUUGGAGAACGUAGCUGCGGCAUGGAAUAAUAAGAUAUGACAUCGGUUCUACUUUGCUUGUUUCUAGUGACGGUGCAAUGAUUAAUAGGGGUAAUUGGGGGCAUUCGUACUUACUUGUCAGAUGUAGAGUUCUUGGAUUCGUUAACGACGGACUACCGCGAAAGCAGUUGCCAAGGAUGUUUNCAUUGA